AGAGAGAGCAGCAACUGAAGGCACCAAACUUCAGGGUCACUCAGGUGAUGGGAAGUGACUGUGCUCUGCUAUAUUCACCUCUCUGUAGACUUGGCAGAGAAAAACUGCCCUUCCAUUGGAAUGGUUUCAAGGAUUACAAUUAAGGAAACAUUCAAAACACCCCAUCUGAUCAUGAAAGAAGCCACAGAGAAAGGGACUGUCUAUGACACAUUUCAGGAAAGAAUUUCCCCCAGAAAUGCGUGACAAAAGUGGAUCACUGCAGAAAAUGUCAUCUACAAACAAGCUGAGAAUUUUUCCUCCUCUGGGAGGAGCAAAGGAGGGAGUCACAGUAAAGGUAUAAAACUAUUUACUUUUGUAACCCCGUGUCCUAAAAAAUAAA